UACAGAGGUCUCAAGCGUUGUUCGGAUUCAUUGGGCGUAAAGGGUGCGUAGGUGGCGUGGUAAGUCGGGUGUGAAAUUUCGGAGCUUAACUCCGAAACUGCAUUCGAUACUGCUGUGCUUGAGGACUGGAGAGGAGACUGGAAUUUACGGUGUAGCAGUGAAAUGCGUAGAGAUCGUAAGGAAGACCAGUGGCGAAGGCGGGUCUCUGGACAGUUCCUGACACUGAGGCACGAAGGCCAGGGGAGCAAACGGG
rnacentral:rRNA from 1 species